rnacentral:rRNA from 1 species
AGCAGUCGCCACGGGAAUACGUAGGUGGCAAGCGUUGUCCGGAAUUAUUGGGCGUAAAGCGCGCGCAGGCGGAUUGGUCAGUCUGUCUUAAAAGUUCGGGGCUUAACCCCGUGAUGGGAUGGAAACUGCCAAUCUAGAGUAUCGGAGAGGAAAGUGGAAUUCCUAGUGUAGCGGUGAAAUGCGUAGAUAUUAGGAAGAACACCAGUGGCGAAGGCGACUUUCUGGACGAAAACUGACGCUGAGGCGCGAAAGCCAGGGGAGCGAACGGGAUUAGAGACCCCGGUAGUCCCUGUCUCUUAUACA